rnacentral:rRNA from 1 species
UACAGAGGGUGCAAGCGUUAAUCGGAAUUACUGGGCGUAAAGCGUGCGUAGACGGUUACAUAAGUCGGGUGUGAAAGCCCCGGGCUCAACCUGGGAAUUGCAUUCGAGACUGCGUAGCUAGGGUGCGGAAGAGGGAAGCGGAAUUUCCGGUGUAGCGGUGAAAUGCGUAGAUAUCGGAAGGAACACCGGUGGCGAAGGCGGCAUCCUGGACCGGUAUUGACGCUGAGGCGCGAAAGCCAGGGGAGCAAACGGG